UACGGUGAAUACGUUCCCGGACCUUGUACACACCGCCCGUCAAGCCAUGGAAGCCGGGUGUACCUAAAGUCGAUAACCGUAAGGAGUCGCCUAGGGUAAAACUGGUGACUGGGGUG
rnacentral:rRNA from 1 species